rnacentral:tRNA from 1 species
GCUUGUGAAGGAUAGUAGAGAUCCUUUGGUCUUAGGAACCAAAAACCCUUGGUGCAAAUCCAAGCAAAAGCU